rnacentral:rRNA from 1 species
AUUGAACGCUGGCGGCAUGCUUUACACAUGCAAGUCGAACGGUAACAGGCCUUCGGGUGCUGACGAGUGGCGAACGGGUGAGUAAUGCAUCGGAACGUGCCCAGAGGUGGGGGAUAACGCGGCGAAAGCUGUGCUAAUACCGCAUGUGAUCUGAGGAUGAAAGCGGGGGACCAGGCAGCAAUGUUUGGCCUCGCGCCUUUGGAGCGGCCGAUGUCAGAUUAGGUAGUUGGUGGGGUAAAGGCCUACCAAGCCGACGAUCUGUAGCUGGUCUGAGAGGACGACCAGCCACACUGGGACUGAGACACGGCCCAGACUCCUACGGGAGGCAGCAGUGGGGAAUUUUGGACAAUGGGCGCAAGCCUGAUCCAGCAAUGCCGCGUGCGGGAAGAAGGCCUUCGGGUUGUAAACCGCUUUUAUACGGAACGAAAAGGCUCUGGCUAAUACCUGGGGCUGAUGACGGUACCGUAAGAAUAAGCACCGGCUAACUACGUG